GUUCUACGUUUAGUAACAUACUGCAGUGGAAAGUAGUUUGCAUGAUCCAUGAGUGUAGAAGUUAUCAUUGCAACAGCCGUAGUCACGGUAGCCGUGGGUCUACCAGCUGCUUUCAUCAAAUCCAUGGGUCGGGUGACUGCUUGGGUUGUCUACAGACAUGUUCUAAUGAAACAGAAAAAAGAGUAAAUAUGUGCUUCCUCUCUGACUUUCCGAGUGAGACGGGGACAGCAGAGUACACAACAGUAAACACUUUGGUUAUGUACAUACACCACCAACUGGAAUUGGUACUUGGACUUUCAUUGACUAUUAACUACUAACUGGACCGAUAUACAAAGAAGUAGAGAAGAAGCGAGAAGUAGGCACAAUGCAAGAAUGACACUGCAACUAGUCAAUCAGUAAAGUUUAGCAGUAUAAUGAAUAUAUAUAACGAAUUUCAACCUUAAAAUUAAACCUUAAAAUUCAGUCUCAAAAUCUUUAAUUGAUAUUUUGUUUGCUUCAUUGAAAAAAUAAACACACACAGCCA